GCGUUUCGGGUCUGUGGUUGAAAAUCCAGGCCAGGCACGGGCGAAAGGAUCCACGUAAGCAGCGAGAAGAGCUUGCUGUGAGCAUGGCGUGCUUUAGAAGUAAGUCCUCCGAAAAUCGGGUUAAGGCAAGUGUGGGGGCAAAGACCAGGUCAGCCGAAAAUGC
rnacentral:ncRNA from 12 species